rnacentral:lncRNA from 1 species
CCUCGAUGUAUAUAUCAUCCACUAGUUUCUUGCUCAGUGGGAUUAUCACAGGAUCCUUUAUAUAUAUAUCACUCAACAACGCGCUGUUUCACAAAAUCACAAUACAUUGACUAAGACGUCUCUUAAUCAAUAUUUCAUCAUUUAUUUUCAAAUGUACAUCUAUGAUUUAUUAUCAUAGGCUUACUUAGAUAAAUUCUAAGCAACAACA